ACUCAAAUGAAUAGACGGGGGCCCGCACAAGCAGCGGAGCGUGUGGUUUAAUUCGAGGCUACACGAAGAACCUUACCUGGGUUUGACAUAGCGGUAGUAGGGAACCGAAAGGGGACCGACCUUCGGGAGCCGUUACAGGUGCUGCAUGGCUGUCGUCAGCUCGUGCCGUGAGGUGUUCGGUUAAGUCCGCAAACGAGCGCAACCCCUGGUGCUAGUUACACGUGUCUAGCGCGACUGCCCGUGAGAAACGGGAGGAAGGUGGGGAUGACGUCAAGUCAGCAUGGCCUUUAUAUCCAGGGCUACACACACGCUACAAUGGGCGGUACAAUGGGUCGCGAAAGCGUGAGCUGGAGCCAAUCCUGAAAGCCGUUCGUAGUUCGGAUUGCAGGCUGCAACCCGCCUGCAUGAAGUCGGAGUUGCUAGUAACCGCAGGUCAGCUAUACUGCGGUGAAUACGUUCCCGGGCCUUGCACACACCGCCCGU
rnacentral:rRNA from 1 species